rnacentral:Y_RNA from 1 species
AACUGGUCCGAAGGUAGUAAGUUAUCUCGAUUAUUCACAGUUACAGAUUAAACUCUUGUUCUAUUCUUCCCCCCUUCUGACUACUACACUUGACUAGUCUUAA